UACGUAGGGUCCAAGCGUUGUCCGGAAUUAUUGGGCGUAAAGAGCUCGUAGGCGGUCUGUCGCGUCUGCUGUGAAAACUCAGGGCUUAACCCUGAGCUUGCAGUGGGUACGGGCAGACUAGAGUGCGGUAGGGGAGACUGGAAUUCCUGGUGUAGCGGUGAAAUGCGCAGAUAUCAGGAGGAACACCGGUGGCGAAGGCGGGUCUCUGGGCCGUAACUGACGCUGAGGAGCGAAAGCGUGGGGAGCGAACAGG
rnacentral:rRNA from 1 species